rnacentral:rRNA from 1 species
UUGUUCGGAAUUACUGGGCGUAAAGGGAGCGUAGACGGUUCUGCAAGUCUGGAGUGAAAGCCCGGGGCUCAACCCCGGGACUGCUUUGGAAACUGUGGAACUGGAGUGCAGGAGAGGUAAGUGGAAUUCCUAGUGUAGCGGUGAAAUGCGUAGAUAUUAGGAGGAACACCAGUGGCGAAGGCGGCUUACUGGACUGUAACUGACGUUGAGGCUCGAAAGCGUGGGGAGC